CACUGCCAUAGCAGUCAGAGAAGGGCUGUGGUGCUGUGCAGAGGUCAGAGGAAUGGGACACUAAUGAGGAGGAGGAGGGGCCUUCAUCCUAGCCGCCCCGUGCAGCGCCACAGCAGGAGAUGGUUGCGCUGCUACGUCAGUUUAUUGGUGCUCAGAGGGGCCGGGAAAAAGCGCUCUUAGGGGAACUCCCAGGCCUAUGGACAACCAUCCAAGCUUGCAGUCCAUCGCCUACAUCAGCAGCCAGCUCUAGUCCCAAGGUGGGGAGUGUUGUCUUCCUAAUAGGACUCCCAACAACUCUUCACACCCUGCAGCAGCCAGCAGUAGCACCAAUGACCGAGCCACAGCCACAGCCAUCAACAGCAACAGCAUUCCAGCAGCAGCCACCAGAACCAGCCCCAUGGAAGGACCCCAAGUUGCUUCCAUUGCAGUUUGGUGAGGACAUUGAAAAAUACCUCCUCCGCUUUGAGAGGAUUGCCAGAACUUGGGCGUGGCCAGAGACUGAGUGGGCCUACAGACUUGUGCCUUAACUGACAGGACAGGUGUUGGAGGCCUAUUCUGCAAUGGAUGAAGAGCGGUCUGACUCCUACCCAGACCUUACACAAGCCCUGCUGGCCAAGUUUGACAUUUCUUCUGAGACGUAUUGCCAGCGCUUCAGAGAUCCAGCUGCACCCAAGGGAGAGGCGCCAACAAAAACCUACCGAUGCUUGAAAGCCCUGUAUCGAUGUUGGAUCAAACCAGACCAACCCUUCAGCUUCAGGAUCAGGCACAAAUCUGGCAAGACCACCCUGUUGACAGACUACCUGUCUCGGUUGACUACCACGGCUGCGCCAGGAGAGGGGGAAGAUUGCAUCCCUCUGAAGAAGCUGCCACAUUCAGCAUCUGCAGUGAUUUGCUGACAUUGAGUCUCACACUUUUACAAACCUGUCAAGGAGGUGUCGGAUAGACUGCAACAUUUUAGUGUCUAACAAAAACAAACACAAGAGUAAAAAGAUCUGCUGUCAGAGAGAUUGUUCAGCUGUUAAUGCAGCAGCAUAUGCUCGUACAGGCUGUAGUCCUCAGGUUUAAUUAGCUGACUCACUUGUGUAGAAAUACCACAUUAAAGCACUUCUAAAUCCCUUUUUUAAGGAGUUUUGUGCUUGAUGGAAGAACAGCCUUUGAUUGUUCAGUCGACUGUUGUUUAGAGACUCUCUUUAAGACAUUCGUAUUAAUACAGGCAGAGGAGCGGAAGACUUUCCCUGACUUUGUUUGUUUAAGCAAUGUGCCACAUUUGAGGGAAUUACAAUCAAAGUAUGCCGCAGUGUUUGAAGUGAUUAAGCAAAGCCGAACGUUUAAUCAUAACGUAAGAUGUUUGAUCCCAGCUCUCUGUGUAAUGUGUACCCAGAUGAGUUACUCAUCCUCAAAGACUACAGCUUCCUUUUCUUAUAUUAUUAAAUCUAUUGGUUCAUUCUCAAGUGUGCAGCACAAGGUGACAUUAAAGAGCCACUUAUGUUAAGUCUUUGCUGUGUCAACACGGGCGGAUUAACCUGUUUUGGGGGCCUAUGGCAGAAAUGGGAUUGUGCACCUUUUGGACCCCCACCCCACCCAAAAUGCUGCUCCACUAAAGUGCAGCAGAUAUGUUAUAUUGUGAAUAUUUUAGCAUACAAUUACCUGUUAACACAUUUAAAUAUAAAAAAACACAAGCA